UCAAGAGUUUUUGUACACGUGAGGCUGUC
rnacentral:sRNA from 1 species